AUGGAAGUUAGCUGCUAGUGUAGGUGGUGUUUGGAAAUGCAUUUAAUCUUCAAUAGAAAAAGAAAUUUAACACAGCUUGGAGGAAGGGUGUGCAUCUCUUUAAUGAGAUCCUUUUAAAGGUUUUUACAGUUAAAGGGAAAAUAACGGAUCAUCAGGGAAAAAGUAAAAGUGUAUGGUGUGUAAAAGGUUAAAAGGGUCAAAUGGAGGAAAUAAUUAUGGAGAUCCCAUUGUGGCUCAGCAUGAACAAAUCUGACUAGUAACCAUGAGAUUGCAGGUUUGAUCCGUGGCCUCACUCAGUGGGUUAAGUAUCCAGCAUUGCUGUGAGCUGUGGGGUAGGUCACAGACGCAGCUUGGAUCCUGCUUUGCUAUGGCUAUGGUGUAGGACAGCAGCUGCAGCUCCAAUUCAACCCCUAGCCUAGGAACCUCCAUUUGCUGCAGGCUUGACCCUAAAAAAAGGGGGGGGGGGGAGAGAAAGAAACCAAUAGAAUUAAAUACUGGCACAUCUCCUCUUGAAAGAGGCAAUUCCAUUGAGAACUGGUCAUAAGCUAUCAUUUUAUUUAGGGAUUAUGGGGCACCAGGUGGGCGCCAUGGCCAGGAAUGAAGCAAAGAAUAAAAGGAAGUUCUAGGAUCAAGGUCACUCCUCCCAUAAACGCAAGGCAGGCUCUGACAUUUCCAUCCUUCCAGAUUAUUUUUCCCACCACUGAACCAGUGUCACUCUUGACGGAUCUUCCAGGGCAGAGAUGCUGUUGUUUUUUACCAAGUUCUUUCUCUUUACCAAGAACAAAAAAUUUUUUUCCAUCCAGAUAAGAGAAUUCUUCCUCCAUCCUAAGUAUAGACAUGGCCCACUUGGGUCCACAACCUUAUUAUAGAGGACCAUGGUGGAGACUGGGGAAUGGUGCCUGAGCUCAUCCUGGACCCAUAUUUUUGAGUCAACCUUCCAUUCAUGACACAACGGGAACUCUCUGAAGAGCCAAUUCAUAUUUCAUCUGAUUUUCGGAAAAGCUUUCAAAUGAAGAAUUGGUCAGACUCUGUUUGUUAUGCCAGAUGGUCCCCCAGUUGGUGUGGGUCUAACUUAGUCUGUAACUCACUUACUUGGUUCUCCUCCCUAAGGGAGUGAAGGAAGCUAAGCCAUUUAUAUUCACAGCCCAUCAGGUGUAUUUCCCUAGCAUCUUGUGGGAGAGAUUCUAACGGGGAAGAGAAUCCUGGGCCUAAAUCCAGAAUUUUCAAAUUUUAAGAGGGAAUUGAACUUGAAUUUAUUUUCAAAGAAAUGAAAACCUUGGGACUAAAUUUGUUUAAAAGAGUUUGUGGCCAACUACACAUUUGCAGGGAAAUGUUGAUUAUAAUUUUCCACCACUUGUGGAAUCAGCCAAUGGGGGGGGCAGGGGCCACAGUGUAACUAGAAUGUUAGCAUAGCUAGCGAGCCAACAUGGCAUAAAAAGAAACACCCCAUUAAAUGUUGCUUUCCAUCCUUCCCUGGUGCUCUAAAUACAACUUUGUUUCCUUUUGGAUGAUUUUUUCCCUUCAGAUGAAGUAUUUUGUAAGUAUUUUACAGAAUUAAUGUAAUCAUCAUUUUGUAAUUUAACCUAGCACAGACUUAAACAGAGAUAUUUUUUAAUCUUCAGCAUCCAUUUUAAGUCCAAUAAAAUUUUUUUUAAAAAAAAAAAGGCCAAAAAAAGAUAAAGCUUGACUGCUUCUCAUCAAUUAAAAAACCUCAUAAGGGAGUUCCCAUCGUGGCGCAGUGGUUAACGAAUCCGACUAGGAACCUAUGAGGUUGUGGGUUCUGUCCCUCCCCUUGCUCAGUGGGUUAACAAUCUGGCCUUGCUGUGAGCUGUGGUGUAGGUUGCAGACACAGCUCGGAUCCCGAGUUGCUGUGGCUCUGGUGUAGGCCAAAGGAUACAGCUCCGAUUCAACCCCUAGCCUGGGAACCUCCAUAUGCCUCGGGAGCAGCCCAAGAAAU
rnacentral:lncRNA from 9 species